GACGUAGGGCGCGAGCGUUGUCCGGAUUUAUUGGGCGUAAAGAGCUUGUAGGCGGUUUGUCGCGUCUGCUGUGAAAUUUCGGGGCUCAACCCCGAACUUGCAGUGGGUACGGGCAGACUAGAGUGUGGUAGGGGAGACUGGAAUUCCUGGUGUAGCGGUGAAAUGCGCAGAUAUCAGGAGGAACACCGAUGGCGAAGGCAGGUCUCUGGGCCACUACUGACGCUGAGAAGCGAAAGCAUGGGGAGCGAACAGG
rnacentral:rRNA from 1 species